rnacentral:rRNA from 1 species
UUAAGCGACUAAGCGUACACGGUGGAUGCCCUGGCAGUCAGAGGCGAUGAAGGACGUGCUAAUCUGCGAUAAGCGUCGGUGAGGUGAUAUGAACCGUUAUAACCGGCGAUUUCCGAAUGGGGAAACCCAGUGUGAUUCGUCACACUAUCAUUAACUGAAUCCAUAGGUUAAUGAGGCGAACCGGGGGAACUGAAACAUCUAAGUACCCCGAGGAAAAGAAAUCAACCGAGAUUCCCCCAGUAGCGGCGAGCGAACGGGGAGCAGCCCAGAGCCUGAAUCAGUGUGUGUGUUAGUGGAAGCGUCUGGAAAGGCGCGCGAUACAGGGUGACAGCCCCGUACACAAAAAUGCACAUGCUGUGAGCUCGAUGAGUAGGGCGGGACACGUGGUAUCCUGUCUGAAUAUGGGGGGACCAUCCUCCAAGGCUAAAUACUCCUGACUGACCGAUAGUGAACCAGUACCGUGAGGGAAAGGCGAAAAGAACCCCGGCGAGGGGAGUGAAAAAGAACCUGAAACCGUGUACGUACAAGCAGUGGGAGCCUCUUAAUGGGGUGACUGCGUACCUUUUGUAUAAUGGGUCAGCGACUUAUAUUCUGUAGCAAGGUUAACCGAAUAGGGGAGCCGAAGGGAAACCGAGUCUUAACUGGGCGUUAAGUUGCAGGGUAUAGACCCGAAACCCGGUGAUCUAGCCAUGGGCAGGUUGAAGGUUGGGUAACACUAACUGGAGGACCGAACCGACUAAUGUUGAAAAAUUAGCGGAUGACUUGUGGCUGGGGGUGAAAGGCCAAUCAAACCGGGAGAUAGCUGGUUCUCCCCGAAAGCUAUUUAGGUAGCGCCUCGUGAAUUCAUCUCCGGGGGUAGAGCACUGUUUCGGCAAGGGGGUCAUCCCGACUUACCAACCCGAUGCAAACUGCGAAUACCGGAGAAUGUUAUCACGGGAGACACACGGCGGGUGCUAACGUCCGUCGUGAAGAGGGAAACAACCCAGACCGCCAGCUAAGGUCCCAAAGUCAUGGUUAAGUGGGAAACGAUGUGGGAAGGCCCAGACAGCCAGGAUGUUGGCUUAGAAGCAGCCAUCAUUUAAAGAAAGCGUAAUAGCUCACUGGUCGAGUCGGCCUGCGCGGAAGAUGUAACGGGGCUAAACCAUGCACCGAAGCUGCGGCAGCGACACUAAGUGUUGUUGGGUAGGGGAGCGUUCUGUAAGCCUGUGAAGGUGUACUGUGAGGUAUGCUGGAGGUAUCAGAAGUGCGAAUGCUGACAUAAGUAACGAUAAAGCGGGUGAAAAGCCCGCUCGCCGGAAGACCAAGGGUUCCUGUCCAACGUUAAUCGGGGCAGGGUGAGUCGACCCCUAAGGCGAGGCCGAAAGGCGUAGUCGAUGGGAAACAGGUUAAUAUUCCUGUACUUGGUGUUACUGCGAAGGGGGGACGGAGAAGGCUAUGUUGGCCGGGCGACGGUUGUCCCGGUUUAAGCGUGUAGGCUGGUUUUCCAGGCAAAUCCGGAAAAUCAAGGCUGAGGCGUGAUGACGAGGCACUACGGUGCUGAAGCAACAAAUGCCCUGCUUCCAGGAAAAGCCUCUAAGCAUCAGGUAACAUCAAAUCGUACCCCAAACCGACACAGGUGGUCAGGUAGAGAAUACCAAGGCGCUUGAGAGAACUCGGGUGAAGGAACUAGGCAAAAUGGUGCCGUAACUUCGGGAGAAGGCACGCUGAUAUGUAGGUGAAGCGACUUGCUCGUGGAGCUGAAAUCAGUCGAAGAUACCAGCUGGCUGCAACUGUUUAUUAAAAACACAGCACUGUGCAAACACGAAAGUGGACGUAUACGGUGUGACGCCUGCCCGGUGCCGGAAGGUUAAUUGAUGGGGUUAGCGGUAACGCGAAGCUCUUGAUCGAAGCCCCGGUAAACGGCGGCCGUAACUAUAACGGUCCUAAGGUAGCGAAAUUCCUUGUCGGGUAAGUUCCGACCUGCACGAAUGGCGUAAUGAUGGCCAGGCUGUCUCCACCCGAGACUCAGUGAAAUUGAACUCGCUGUGAAGAUGCAGUGUACCCGCGGCAAGACGGAAAGACCCCGUGAACCUUUACUAUAGCUUGACACUGAACAUUGAGCCUUGAUGUGUAGGAUAGGUGGGAGGCUUUGAAGUGUGGACGCCAGUCUGCAUGGAGCCGACCUUGAAAUACCACCCUUUAAUGUUUGAUGUUCUAACGUUGGCCCCUGAUCGGGGUUGCGGACAGUGUCUGGUGGGUAGUUUGACUGGGGCGGUCUCCUCCUAAAGAGUAACGGAGGAGCACGAAGGUUGGCUAAUCCUGGUCGGACAUCAGGAGGUUAGUGCAAUGGCAUAAGCCAGCUUGACUGCGAGCGUGACGGCGCGAGCAGGUGCGAAAGCAGGUCAUAGUGAUCCGGUGGUUCUGAAUGGAAGGGCCAUCGCUCAACGGAUAAAAGGUACUCCGGGGAUAACAGGCUGAUACCGCCCAAGAGUUCAUAUCGACGGCGGUGUUUGGCACCUCGAUGUCGGCUCAUCACAUCCUGGGGCUGAAGUAGGUCCCAAGGGUAUGGCUGUUCGCCAUUUAAAGUGGUACGCGAGCUGGGUUUAGAACGUCGUGAGACAGUUCGGUCCCUAUCUGCCGUGGGCGCUGGAGAACUGAGGGGGGCUGCUCCUAGUACGAGAGGACCGGAGUGGACGCAUCACUGGUGUUCGGGUUGUCAUGCCAAUGGCACUGCCCGGUAGCUAAAUGCGGAAGAGAUAAGUGCUGAAAGCAUCUAAGCACGAAACUUGCCCCGAGAUGAGUUCUCCCUGACUCCUUGAGAGUCCUGAAGGAACGUUGAAGACGACGACGUUGAUAGGCCGGGUGUGUAAGCGCAGCGAUGCGUUGAGCUAACCGGUACUAAUGAACCGUGAGGCUUAACCUU